GAUGAACGCUAGCUACAGGCUUAACACAUGCAGGUCGCGGGGCAGCAUGGGGGUUGCUUGCAAUCCCCGAUGGCGACCGGCGCACGGGUGAGUAACGCGUAUUCAACCUGCCCUUCACCACGGGAUAACCCGGCGAAAGUCGGACUAAUACCGUAUGUUGUCCAUUGACGGCAUCCGAUUUGGACGAAAGGCUUGGCGGUGAGGGAUGGGGAUGCGUCCGAUUAGCCAGACGGCGGGGUAACGGCCCACCGUGGCUACGAUCGGUAGGGGUUCUGAGAGGAAGGUCCCCACACUGGAACUGAGACACGGUCCAGACUCCUACGGGAGGCAGCAGUGAGGAAUAUUGGUCAAUGGGCGUAAGCCUGAACCAGCCAAGUAGCGUGCAGGAUGACGGCCCUAUGGGUUGUAAACUGCUUUUAUGCGGGGAUAAAGUGGCCCACGUGUGGGCUUUUGCAGGUACCGCAUGAAUAAGGACCGGCUAAUUCCGUG
rnacentral:rRNA from 1 species